rnacentral:misc_RNA from 1 species
UCCCGGUUGGCCCGGGCAGUCUCGUUUGAAAAGUACAACAAACGACAAGGGUUGCGCUCGUUGCGGGACUUAACCCAACAUCUCACGACACGAGCUGACGACGGCCAUGCAACACCUGUCACCAGGUUCCCGAAGGCACAGCACUGUUUCCAGCGCCUUCCUGGGAUGUCAAACCUUGGUAAGGUUCUUCGCGUAUCUUCGAAUUAAACCACAUAAUCCUCUGCUUGUGCGGGUCCCCGUCAAUUCCUUUGAGUUUUAGCCUUGCGGCCGUACUCCCCAGGCGGCAGGCUUAACGCGUUAGCUACUCAGCCCAAGGGGUCGAUACCUCGAACUAAUAGCCUGCAUCGUUUACGGCGUGGACUAC